UAGGGAAUCUUCCACAAUGGACGAAAUCUGAUGGAGCAACGCCGCGUGAGUGAAGAAGGGUUUCGGCUCGUAAAACUCUGUUGUUAAAGAAGAACAUAUCUGAGAGUAACUGUUCAGGUAUUGACGGUAUUUAACCAGAAAGCCACGGCUAACUACGUGCCAG
rnacentral:rRNA from 1 species